UAGAUUCAAAUUGAGAUCUCUUCGAACACUUCUUCUAACUGGCUGCACGAAACUUGAGGCAUUUCCAGAUAUUUUGGAAGAGAUGAAAUUGCUGGAGAAAGUUUGUCUACAUGGAACAGCAAUAGAAGUUCUCCCUUCAUCAAUUGAAAGUCUGACUCGGCUUAAAGUCUUAACCGUGACAUAUUGCAAAAACCUCAACAAUCUUCGAAGUAGCAUUUAUAAGUUGGGAUGUCUUAAGCGUCUACUCCUUGAAGGUUGCUCUAGACUUGAUGAGUUUCCAUUGACUUGUA
rnacentral:misc_RNA from 1 species